CAGCUCUCCGAGUGGUAGGGAUGAUUAUUGGGCUUAAAGCGUCCGUAGCCUGCUUAGCAAGUCUCCUGUUAAAUUCAGCGACCUAAUCGUUGAGCCGCGGGAGAUACUACUAGGCUAGGAGGCGGGAGAGGUCGACGGUACUUCUGGGGUAGGGGUGAAAUCCUAUAAUCCCGGGAGGACCACCAGUGGCGAAGGCUGUCGACUAGAACGCGCUCGACGGUGAGGGACGAAAGCUAGGGGAGCGAACCGGAUUAGAUACCCGAGUAGUCC
rnacentral:rRNA from 1 species